rnacentral:misc_RNA from 1 species
GAUGAAGAACGUAGCGAAAUGCGAUACUUGGUGUGAAUUGCAGAAUCCCGUGAACCAUCGAGUCUUUGAACGCAAGUUGCGCCCGAAGCCAUUAGGCCGAGGGCACGCCUGCCUGGGCGUCACACGUCGUUGCCCCCCCCAUCUACUCCUUCGGGAUUGCGGGGGGCGGAUGAUGGCCUCCCGUGUGCCUCGCCGCGCGGUUGGCAUAAAUACCAAGUCCUCGGCGACGCACGCCACGACAAUCGGUGGUUGCGAAACCUCGGUUGCCCGUCGUGUGCGGUCGUCGCGCAUCGAGGGCUCGAAAAAAUUGCCGGGUUCCGGCUCGGCUUUCAACGCGACCCCAGGUCAGGCGGGGUUACCCGCUGAAUUUAAGCAUAUCAAUAAGCGGAGGA